rnacentral:rRNA from 1 species
UUUAUGGAGAGUUUGAUCCUGGCUCAGGAUGAACGCUGGCGGCGUGCCUAAUACAUGCAAGUCGAGCGAACGGACGAGAAGCUUGCUUCUCUGAUGUUAGCGGCGGACGGGUGAGUAACACGUGGAUAACCUACCUAUAAGACUGGGAUAACUUCGGGAAACCGGAGCUAAUACCGGAUAAUAUUUUGAACCGCAUGGUUCAAAAGUGAAAGACGGUCUUGCUGUCACUUAUAG